rnacentral:lncRNA from 12 species
GCUUUUUUCCUUUUUUUUCUUUUUUUCUUUAUUUUUUUUCAAAGGCUUGCUUCAUAAAAGAGGCAGUUGAGAUUCCAAAUGUCAUGUCAGUACUUCUACUGCAAACUCAAGAGAAGACACCAUUGCCAAGCAGGAGAAGGCGAAGCAGCCUAAUAAAGGCAGUUUCAGGAUCCCAGCCUGUGUGGAUGUGUCGUGGAUACUGCAUGAAGAUUAUGCCAUACUAGCCAGUGACCAUUCCUGAGUCAUUCCUAGGUCAUUCCUACUGCUGAGCACUGGAAAACAAGUCCCACUGGGACUGUGAGAAAACCCCCUGGUGUAGAAUUGGCUCCUGUCAAUCAGAAUUCUCCUGGCCCUGUUUCAAUGCCUGAACAAUGCAGGCUGCACACCCACUGCCAGUCUGCACAGAGCCACGUGGGUU